rnacentral:lncRNA from 1 species
AUUAUUAUUGUGUUGGUAUGGAUGUGUAGGGAUUCUUACUGGGCUGUAAAGCUCACCCCCUUUUUCUUCUUUUUCUUUAUCAGAGUUGCAGGAUGCAUAGAUUUGGAUGGGAUGGGCGCAGAGUGCGAGUACCAGAGUUAUUAGUUAGUUAGUUUGUUUAUCCUUCUUUGAUGUCGAUGAACAUUUGAAGACUUUGUAAUUGAACCAAUUUGUUGGACAUGUCGGAUUUGUCUAUUUGAAUUAUUAAAUUAGUUGUGGAUUUAUUGGAAUUUUUGUUAAUCAUAGGCCUUGCAUGAUCUUUAGGGCACUGCUCUAGGGCUCAUGCGGCCAGUC